rnacentral:rRNA from 1 species
UACGGGGGGGGCAAGCGUUGUUCGGAAUUACUGGGCGUAAAGGGCUCGUAGGCGGCCAACUAAGUCAGACGUGAAAUCCCUCGGCUCAACCGGGGAACUGCGUCUGAGACUGAUGAGCUCGAGUGCAGGAGAGGAACGCGGAAUUCCAGGUGUAGCGGUGAAAUGCGUAGAUAUCUGGAGGAACACCGGUGGCGAAGGCGGCGUUCUGGACUGGCAACUGACACUGAGGAACGAAAGCCAGGGGAGGCAAACGGG